AGUGAACGCUGGCGGUAGGCCUAACACAUGCAAGUCGAACGGCAGCACAGUAAGAGCUUGCUCUUACGGGUGGCGAGUGGCGGACGGGUGAGGAAUACAUCGGAAUCUACUUUUUCGUGGGGGAUAACGUAGGGAAACUUACGCUAAUACCGCAUACGACCUACGGGUGAAAGCAGGGGAUCUUCGGACCUUGCGCGAUUGAAUGAGCCGAUGUCGGAUUAGCUAGUUGGCGGGGUAAAGGCCCACCAAGGCGACGAUCCGUAGCUGGUCUGAGAGGAGGAUCAGCCACACUGGAACUGAGACACGGUCCAGACUCCUACGGGAGGCAGCAGUGGGGAAUAUUGGACAAUGGGCGCAAGCCUGAUCCAGCCAGACCGCGUGGGUGAAGAAGGCCUUCGGGUUGUAAAGCCCUUUUGUUGGGAAAGAAAAGCAGCAGGUUAAUACCCCGCUGUUCUGACGGUACCCAAAGAAUAAGCACCGGCUAACUUCGUG
rnacentral:rRNA from 1 species